UACGUAGGGUGCAAGCGUUAAUCGGAAUUACUGGGCGUAAAGCGUGCGCAGGCGGUUAUGUAAGACAGUUGUGAAAUCCCCGGCUCAACCUGGGAACUGCAUCUGUGACUGCAUAGCUAGAGUACGGUAGAGGGGGAUGGAAUUCCGCGUGUAGCAGUGAAAUGCGUAGAUAUGCGGAGGAACACCGAUGGCGAAGGCAAUCCCCUGGACCUGUACUGACGCUCAUGCACGAAAGCGUGGGGAGCAAACAGG
rnacentral:rRNA from 1 species